AAAAAAAUCAUUUCCAUCCACGGCCAUGCCCGAUCCCGUCUGAUCUUGGAAGCUAAGCAGGGUCGGGCCUGAUUCGUACUUGGAUGGGAGACCACCUAGGAAGACCAGGUGCUAUAGACA
rnacentral:rRNA from 1 species